UACGUAGGGUGCAAGCGUUGUCCGGAAUUAUUGGGCGUAAAGAGCUCGUAGGCGGUUCCGUAAGUCGAGGGUGAAAAAUCUGGGCUCAACCCAGUGGAGCACUCGAUACUGCGGUGACUAGAGUACGGUAGAGGAGUGUGGAAUUCCUGGUGUAGCGGUGAAAUGCGCAGAUAUCAGGAGGAACACCAGCGGCGAAGGCAGCACUCUGGGCCGGUACUGACGCUGAGGAGCGAAAGCGUGGGGAGCAAACAGG
rnacentral:rRNA from 1 species